AGUAGCGGCCUCCUCCUCUCCGUUUUGUCCAAGCCAGUUGAUCCAUUUUUCUGUGCUUGAAUCUGCCAUAUCAAGGAUCCUUUGUUGAAGCUGCAGCCACACUGGUGCAAGCCCAUGGAUGCUGAAGACUAUGAGGAGUACAUACCUCUUCUUUAUGAAGUUCUCGCAGGUCAGCAACAUGAGGUGAUUAAUGCACAUGCAUAUCUAUCUGAUUUGUGUGUUACUUCCAUCAUGUAUCUAGACUGGCAGUCAUAUUCCUCAGUUACUCAAGGGUGUAUGGCAUGCUGGAUCUUCUUUGAGGGCAUGAUUUAGUUCAGGUCUUCUUGUCCAGUCUUUGGCUCUUAUGCAUUGAAUCUGGAGCCAUUGUUUGCCCAACGUCUACCUAACCCCAUUAAUUUAUUUUACUUCCUUGAAUUACAAUCUUCACCCAUCAUGUUAGUUUAGAUGAAGCUGAAUUUACUAUAUAUCUAAAAUUAGGGGAUUAUGCAAUCUCUUAAGUUCUUGCCUUCUUGGUCAUCUUUUUAGAUAAACUGUUAUUCCGCUGGCUACAAGUAUACUCUGCUUUUCCAGAAAUCUUUAGUCUUGUUCUGAACAAAAUCAUCUAUUCUUGAUUGGAAUCUUGAGAUUGCACAUUUUUCAUCAGGGCAAAAAGGGCAAGACCUCGUUAAGAAUGUCGUCCUAGUGGGCACAAGGUCGAACAUGAAGCUACCAGGAACACCGAGUUAUCCUCUGUUAGCUUGGAGGAUGGUGCUAUGGGCGACCACGUCGGCAAUGGCAACAGCGAAGGCAACAAUGAUGUUGAGAACAUGGUGGUAGCCUAAGGUGACUUAGAAACUUAUGAAGGUGUAGAUGAUGCUCCAGAUCAUGAACUAGUGGACUUAGAAACAUG